GAUUUAUCCUAGGGCCCAGGAGAGCCACGCUGAGCACAAUCCCUCCUGGAUUAACAUGUGUUUGAAGAGUCUGCAUGCAGACAACUGAUGCUGAAAAUCCUGAUGACAGCCUGAGCGUGUUUGUUGGGAAGUGUCACCUCAGCGGCACAGGGACAUCCCUCAGCCUACAGGAAAGCAAGGAUGAAAGGAUGUAGCUACUGUCCCGUAGUACCUGUUGAUGGAUGCAGUCUCCUGCUGGAAGAUUUUCUAGCAUCUUAUUUUUGUGAGGGGAUGAAAAGUAUUACAUUUUUACCAGAUCGAAUGAGAGGAGCAAGUGUACCUUCCCCACACACUGUGUACGAGCACCCUGUGGUCAGCAAAUGCCAGUCCAGCUGUUCCCAUUGGAUGCAAUCACUGGCAGAACUGGGUUUGGAGGAACCAAAGAGCCUGUGCUUUCCUUUCCAUCCAUGAAACAAGCUUUUGGCUUCAAAACUUAAAUAAGAAGCUCACUGAUAGAUUUCCAUGUUGUAUAAAUUAAUGCAAGAAGAAAGGGAAAGUAUGCACAGCAACAGAGGGGUUUAUAGCCCUGAAGGAGCAAUGAAAGGAGAUGGACGUUUCUGCCCGCUGCAUUUAUUGGGAAAGGAGAGGUAAUUACACCGUGGUUGUGUUGCUGCCAAGUUAUAAUGUGGAUAGGAUGGUGUCUUUCAAGGAGACUAUCAAAUGGUUCAGUAGCAUGGAUAACCAACUGUGGUUUUUUCUGCAUGAUGACACCAGGCCAUAAUAACUGGUUGGGAAUAACGAUGCUAUAUUUUUCCAUUAAAUAAAGUUUUAUUUGUAGGACAUUGACUGAUUUUUAAAGUAACGUAGACUUUCCUUACCACUAAAGCCCACAUAUUUAACACACAGCCAAACUGUUCUCUCUGAAACCACAUUAUGCAUGUUGUAACAAUACUCUCCCACAGACGAUGAACACUGAGGACAUAUUUUUCCAUGUGAAUCAUCCAUUCACUUAAAAAAUACAUUCCCUUAUUAAAAAAUGCAGCCAUGUGACAAGUUUUGCAGUGCUGUGUUCCACUUCUCUUUUUCAUUAGACUAUUAAAAAUUUAUUGCUGUUUCAAAUCAUUUUCUGAUGACUGCAUAAUUUUUCCUCCUUAUUCCCCUCGUUUCCUUUCCAAGAUAAUAUCAAGCAGUUUCCACCUUCGCUUUGCUGCGAGUGCACCUAAGUAAAAUAAAUGACCAAGAACUGAUCCUGCAGUGAGAUGAAUGCAAAUAGAUCUGCAUUGCUUCCUUCAAACCAGCGGUCACACAUUGACCCAUAAAGCUGCCGGUUGGCAUUUCUCUGCCAAGUAAGGCCACAAAAGAGACAUGAAGUUGUCAUUACAAUCCCUGUCUCUGAUCACUGAGAAAUACGGAGUCCCUGCAAUUUUGUAUGUUUUCCUCUAAAACUAGAAGGUUAAGAGGGAGCAUGAAAAGCAUAUGUUGCUGCUGAAAGGCUGGUAGUCUGGGUUGGUAUCCAUUACCAGAUGCUGUUCUGC
rnacentral:lncRNA from 1 species